rnacentral:rRNA from 1 species
CGCGGCCUAUCAGCUUGUUGGUGAGGUAACGGCUCACCAAGGCAUCGACGGGUAGCUGGUCUGAGAGGACGAUCAGCCACACUGGAACUGAGACACGGUCCAGACUCCUACGGGAGGCAGCAGUGGGGAAUCUUGCACAAUGGGCGAAAGCCUGAUGCAGCGACGCCGCGUGGGGGAUGAAGGCCCUAGGGUCGUAAACCCCUUUCAGUAGGGACGAAAAUGACGGUACCUACAGAAGAAGCUCCGGCCAACUACGUGCCAGCAGCCGCGGUAAGACGUAGGGGGCGAGCGUUGUCCGGAAUUAUUGGGCGUAAAGAGCUCGUAGGCGGUUCCGUAAGUCGGAUGUGAAAACUCAGGGCUCAACCCUGAGACGCCAUCCGAUACUGCGGUGACUUGAAUCCAGUAGGGGAGUGUGGAAUUCCUGGUGUAGCGGUGAAAUGCGCAGAUAUCAGGAGGAACACCUAUGGCGAAGGCAGCACUCUGGGCUGGUAUUGACGCUGAGGAGCGAAAGCAUGGGUAGCAAACAGGAUUAGAUACCCUGGUAGUCCAUGCCGUAAACGGUGGGCACUAGGUGUGGGGACUUUCAACGGUUUCCGUGCCGAAGCUAACGCAUUAAGUGCCCCGCCUGGGGAGUACGG